GAUAAGGAUUUGUUAACGUUGCCAUUAUCAUAACUACGCAACGACGCUUCGUGACGUCAUCGCUAGCAUGGAUAAUACCGUUAACAUCAGUGUUUACUGUUUAUGUAUUAUGUUACAGGUAACCAUGAACUAAAUUUUCAUCCGUUCAUCGAUCUGUCGAUUUUUACCCUAGUGGCUAGUGUUACUGUUUGGUGUGUUAGUGUUUCUGUGUAGUGUUUUAGUGUGGUCGUCUUUUUGUAUGAGAAGGUGUUGUAUGCCACAGUGUUUGUGUAACGCAUUAAUGCAGUUCGAUCGUCACUUCUAAUAAAGUAAGUAAAUACUAGUACUUACUUCGUUUAUCUCAGCUGAUUAAAAUUUCAAUGUCAGCAAAUCGGUAUUUUCGGUAAAGUUAACUUAAAACCGAAAUGAAUUUGUUGCUUUUUAUUGUAUCAUCUGAUAGUCAUCCAUUCAACCAUAUUGUUUACUAAAAUUAAUAAACCAUAAUAAACUGUUGAAAUAGAAAAUGACUUUCAGAUUUUAUGAUCAUCAAUCCAAACGUUCAUUAAUUUAAUAAUUCAUUGAUUGAAUAAGGUUUUUGGAAUACAUGGGUAUCUAUUUAUUAUCGUGUGUCUAUAUUUUUUU